GAAAGCUCUUUGUUUUUUGAAAGGGUGCUUUUAUGAGAUAGAGAUUUUUUAGAUAAUGCUUUUUUAGAUAAUGCUGGGGAAGGUUUUCCGGUUUAUCUCGGAGGGCUUGUAGCUCAGUUGGUUAGAGCGCGCGCUUGAUAAGCGUGAGGUCGGAGGUUCAAGUCCUCCCAGGCCCACCAAUUUACCUAUCCAUUUGCCUUUAUCUGUUUAUUUGCCGAUUUAUCGGUCCAUUGAAUUUAAGUGUUGGUAGCAGUUUUAUAAUGAUGAAAAAUCAUGCUUAUAAAAAAACUCCUUAUAAAAGGGUUGUUUUUAAAAUGGGACGCUUAUCCAUUUCCCUUAAGCAAAAAAAACUUCCAGCGGUUCAAAUACAAAAGGCUUUAAGUUUUGCAAAACACUUUGAAUUUUG
rnacentral:misc_RNA from 1 species